rnacentral:lncRNA from 1 species
GACGAGGAGCGCUGAACUCUCCAUUCAUGAAGGCUGCUUCCCUCCUACGUCUGAAAUACCAAAUCUAAAAUAGCCCUACAAGUGUCGGUGGAGAGUGAGUUUAUGGAACUCAGACGUUUGAAGCUCGGCAUUACUGAGAAACUUUCAGGCCCUUCCCUCUCUGGUGGAAAUUCACGUGCAUUUGGACUAGCGUAUUCCAGCACUUGGAGAAAGUGAGAAGCAAAGAGAUUUCUCCAGAGUCGCAGAGCUAAGUGAGACAAAGCUGUGACUGGACGGGGGUUUCCAGACAUCCGGUUGGUGUUCUUUGCACUGUCUCCUACUGCAAUUAGACUCUGCUCUCUUCUCCAGUUUUAUUCAUUGCUAUCAUGAGUCUGGCAGCUGGCCUCUUUUUUAGCUUUAUUGAAGUCACUUGACUUCUGGCAACAUACUGAAUGUGUCGAAUGUGCAAAGAAGAAAAAAGAUAAUCUUUUAGAUACAUGUGGAGG